rnacentral:rRNA from 1 species
GACGAACGCUGGCGGCGUGCUUAACACAUGCAAGUCGAACGGAAAGGCCCUGCUUUUGUGGGGUGCUCGAGUGGCGAACGGGUGAGUAACACGUGAGUAACCUGCCCUUGACUUUGGGAUAACUUCAGGAAACUGGGGCUAAUACCGGAUAGGAGCUCCUGCUGCAUGGUGGGGGUUGGAAAGUUUCGGCGGUUGGGGAUGGACUCGCGGCUUAUCAGCUUGUUGGUGGGGUAGUGGCUUACCAAGGCUUUGACGGGUAGCCGGACUGAGAGGGUGACCGGCCACAUUGGGACUGAGAUACGGCCCAGACUCCUACGGGAGGCAGCAGUGGGGAAUAUUGCACGAUGGGCGGAAGCCUGAUGCAGCAACGCCGCGUGCGGGAUGACGGCCUUCGGGUUGUAAACCGCUUUCGCCUGUGACGAAGCGUGAGUGACGGUAAUGGGUAAAGAAGCACCGGCUAACUACGUG